CUUGACCACUCGGCCACGGGGCCCAUUCCUACACUGGCUUUUUAGGUAAGCUAAGUUAGUAAUUUAGUCAGGUAAACUAACUAAGAGGAGGCACUUAAUAAUUAUUCUUAAAAUAACAGCAAUUUGCUCUAAAGUGACGUUUCGAGUUCACCUAGACUAGAAACUGAAAUACAACUUCUAAAAAGCAACUUCUCUUACUUCAAAACAAAACCAAAACCCUACGACCCUCUAAGUGGACACCUGCAACACAGAGUAAACGACCGCCCCCAUCACAGCAACAAGUAACAGUGUCUGUGUCUUCCCUCCCUGACCUUGACCCCACAUGCAGACUCGUCCUUCCCGAACUGCCCGGGCAGCUGGAUCGCAGCGCAUGGCGAAGGCGGGAGGUGCACUUCCCCCGGACCAGCGGGCUCGGGCUCCACAGUGACAGCGUCCAGGCCACAGAUGGGUCUUGCCAGUUGCUCCUCUCUGGGCCUGGCCUGAGCCCUUCGGAUGGUGUCAGCCCCGGGGCCUGGACCCAGGGUUUGAGGGCGAGGCUCCCGGGGCUUCUGCCUCAUGCGGAGGUUAGGUUACAAAGCCUGCAUGAAAGACUCCAAAUUCAUUUAGUCAAUUUACCCUUGAAAAUUCCUUAAAUGAACAGAAUGUAGGGCCCUUGGAAGCUCAAAAUCUAAUAAUUCACUUUGUUCUGUUUUCAUUUUGGCUGUGGCCUUGCUUUCCUUGGAACUGUGAAGACCAAGGUCUCAUUUGAACGAGGUGGGAAUUAGAGGAGGGUCAAGGGUUGACGAGCUCUCUCACACGUUUGAUUCAUCGCAAGUUUACGUGUGCAUGUGACGUGGCUCCUGCGUGUCGAUGUGGUGGGGGACAUCGCGGGCACAGAUACGUUGUGUCACUCAAUCUCACAGUGGCCAUAGGAGCAGGCUGGAGCCGUGCAUCCGUCAGUUGCAGGAGACAAAAAAUCCAGCGCAGAGGGAGUUUGCAGACUCUGGGAACUGGCCGUGUGAGCACUGACCAGGCUUCAGGCCUGGCUCUAACAAUCUGGGGUCUGAUCUCUCGCAGUCUUCCCUCUUUGCUCCCUGACGAGUUGGCCUCGCUCUCAGCUAGUCUCUUCCGAUUGAAGGCAAAGUGGUCACUCGCGGCUCCUGAGGUAGCCUCCUCCUCUGUCAACUUACAGCCUCAGUGGAAAAGCAGCCUUUACCACGAGCUCAGCAAGAGGCUCAGGAAGGGUUUUCAUUGGUCCAGCUCGAGUCACACACCUGUCCCUGACCAAUCACGGGGCUGUGUGUGAAUUAAGUGCCCACCCCUGGAGACCCUCAUGGACUGAGAGCCGGGGAGGGGGGUCCCCAAAGAAAAGAGGUAGUUUUUUUUUUAACCUGUUUGGGUCAUUUCUUCACCCUUCAUUUUAUUUUAUUGUGGUAAAACACGCACAACAUAAAAUUUACCAU
rnacentral:lncRNA from 1 species